CACAUAAGUCACUUUCAGCAACACAUGCAAAGCAACACUUUCAAUACUGUUGCAAUAGUGUAUAUAAGGCAACAUAAUGGUUACAGUUAAAAACUGUUGCAAAGAAAUUAACAAAAUUCACAAAUUUACAACAUAAGGUAACGAAUAUAGGAAACUGCUGCAUUAGCUUAAUAAAAUGCAACAGUUAGACUUAAUCUAUCAACACUUUUAAACUGCUGCCUUUUAUUACAUCAUAUCAAAUUAAAUUUUUUUAACUAUAUUAUAAGUAUUAAUAAUCAAUAAACAACUUAAAAUUACAAUAACAUUUUACAAAUUACAACCUUUGCAGCCUCAUUUUUUGGAUUAGCUGCUGUUCUAUUAGUUUCAGUUUCAGAUUCAUGUUUCCUUUAGUUCCAAUUUAAACUUGAAACUUGCAGAUAGUAUUUUGGCUGACUACUCACAAUUUUUGUCAAACUGGCUUGUUGGAAUUUGCAGAUAAUUUUUGGUUAUGCAUAAUUUUUCUCCUUUGAGUAAAUAUGGCCCAUCCGUAAAAUUUAUGAGUUCUAUAUAAUUUUUCCCCUUUGACCCAUUUUUCAUGAAAGUUGCUUACCGCGAGGAUCUCAUUAUUGAUUAAAUAAAAAUUAUGUUUAGUAAUUAAUUUAUGAGUUCAGUAAAAAAAUUGAAAAUUAUAAUACAAUUAAAUGUCCUUAAUAUUAAAGGAGAUAUUGACUCUUCUAUUUAAGUUGUACAUGGGCCAAAUAUGGACAUGGCCCAAAAGGAAUUUUAAAUUUGCUUUCCAGAAGUAAAUUUUCAAUUUCAAUACAAAACUGAUGAAAAUUCCAAAUUCAGCGAUAGAGCUUCUCUUUUAGAUUUCAGCGAUAGAGCUUCUCUCCCAUCGCCAUCGUCAUCGCCAUUAAAUUUUAUCGAGCUUCUCUUUCUCUUUCAAUCUCAAAUUCAUCGCUAAAGGGUUUACUGAUCUCUUCAAAUGUCUUCACAUCCUAAGUUAAGUGCAUUAGUGAGAUAAAUGUUGAAAAUCGAAACCAACAGAAGGAUAUGCAUACUGCGGGGACAAAAAGUUUUGCUAGAAUAUGAAAAAAAUUGCAAGAUGAAAAGGAGGAUAAGGCUGAUCCGACUUUGGCGGAAAUGUUCAUUGCCACACGCAAGAGAAAGGCGCGCCGUUCAUACAAGGAAUCAAGUCCAAAUUGCAGAAGAUCCUAAACAGUGGAAAUGAUUCUUUUUCCACUGUUAUAGGUGAGAGGUCUCCCAGUCGUGCAUUUUUGUAUGGAAGAGGGGGUUACAAUAACCAAUUUGAAGAACGGAGUAGGAUGCAGUUCUUCAAUAAUUGUAUCCGAAGAGCUUGUGCAAUCUAUCACGGACAAAAUAAGGAAAGAACUGAAAGAUCAAUUUGACAAGGAGAUGGCUGGGUAUAAGGCGUUACUUGAAAGUGUUAUGUCUCAAGUGAAUCCGACAGUAGAUGAACCAAGUGAAAAUUCGGAUUCUGAAAGCGCUCAAUUUUGAUUGAGAGCUCCUCUAGUUAAGUACUAGUUAUGUUUUGUUGUAUAAUCGUUAUGUUUGAUGAAUACAUUUUCUUUUUGUGAUGUAAUGGAUGGAAUAUUUUUACACUUUGAAUUUUAUGAAUAUUUUCCGUCUUUGUGUUAUCCA